UACGUAGGGGGCAAGCGUUGUCCGGAAUCAUUGGGCGUAAAGCGCGUGUAGGCGGCUAGGUAAGUCUGCUCUGAAAGCCCGGGGCUCAACCCCGGGAGGCGGGUGGAUACUGUCUAGCUCGAGUCCGGAAGAGGAGUGUGGAAUUCCUGGUGUAGCGGUGAAGUGCGCAGAUAUCAGGAGGAACACCAAUGGCGAAGGCAGCACUCUGGGACGUGACUGACGCUGAGACGCGAAAGCGUGGGGAGCAAACAGG
rnacentral:rRNA from 1 species